GUGUCAUGUUAUAUUUCUAUUUUGAUUUGUGUUUUUACCAAGCUUCCAUGCUUAAGUAGCAGGUGACCGAAAUAACGAUCGUACAACACAAAAUAUAGUUCGUUAGAUUUUUAUCGAAUAAAUAAUUAGGAACAAUAUCCAGGAGAAUAUAAGAUAUGAAUAUUUGAUGUAGAAGGUUAAAAAAAACACCGAAAGAGAUGUAAAAUAAAGGUAAUUUAGAGCGUAAAGUAAACUGAAUUGAAGACAAGAUGCAACUACAUCCGUGAUAUGAUUUGGUCGCGAUCAGCAAUGGAGAAACCGUGGCGUUGGCCUGCUUGAGUUGGAAACGCAAUUAUUGAUGAACACAUAUUUUGACAGAAAUUCGGAGGAUCUGAGAGAAUUGGCAAAGGAUCGAUGGAUCAAGUUAACGUUAAGCUCUUGGUCAGGUUUUGCCAGUUUUAGAAGGGAACAACGGCAUGCUCAUCGUUAGGACUCGUGGUUGUAGCCAUGUAGGACAGAUUUAGACGAAAUGCAGGAUUUUCAAAAUGAAGACUCGCAGCUGUGCCCUGACAUGGACAUAAGUUUUCGAGCUCAAAAUCAGCCUCGCUCAUGCCGAGUCAUGGUCGUGAUGUCUGUUGCCUGCAAACAACAGGUUCUCAUCAUCAUAAAGUCCUAGAGAUCUAACUCUGUCUUCAGUUCUUCGCUUCCAAUAUGAAAGUCAUCAUUUGAAUUCGCCAUGUUGCAGAAGUUGUGCAGUUUUAGUUCUAUCAGUUGCAGACAGCAUUAAAAUGAAACAACUGACCUGUUUGUUUAAUGUUUCUGUUUUAUCAAUUGAUGAAAUUACAAAAUAAAUUCUGUAUAAAUAU